rnacentral:lncRNA from 1 species
CACACACACUCUCUGAGCAUAAGCUGCUAGCCAGACUCCCUCUCCCCAUUUUCUGCCAACAUUUCAGAUACUUCCUUGAGGUCUGUUCUCAGAGCUCCUGACAAUUUGUGGUGUUUAGUGACAGAACUGUUACUUUCACAUUUCUUGCUGUUUUAAUGAGACUAUCUGUAGCUAAGAAAAGUGACAUGGUGGCUGGUCCCCUCCCUGGCUCACUGCUGGUCAGCAUUGCCCUUGCUACUUCCAGCCUGCCCUGAAUAUUCCCAUCUCUGCCCAAUAGCGACUACCGAUUUUCUCAAGAUUUGGAGGAUAUGAAAUUUACUCAUCUUAGAAGAGAACUGGACAUCGUAAACCAAAAAAGAUAUUUUAAACAGUCAACAUUUAACCCAAAGGAAUACAUCUUUAAUGCCAUGUAGGGCAUGCCUCCUUCUUCUUUGCCUUCUGCCAUGAUAGUAAGUUUCCUGAAGACUCCCAGCCAUGCCUCCUGUACAGCCUGGGGAACUAAUCUAAAUUAGAGUGAUUUCCUCCCGCAGAAAAGUCAGGCCAUCCAUCCUGACAUAUGCAGAUUUGAAGAUGAUGUGGGAGAGGAAAGAAAGGGCGAGGAAAUUUAUGUUCUAUCCUCAGAAGCUGACUCACGGACCAAGCAGGUAGAACUAAGGGGUCUUUCCACAGCAAACCUGAGAAAUACUGACAUAAAAAUAUCUCUGGACUGGACCCAAGAUUCAGAAGAACUGCAUUCAAGCCCCAGCUUCACCAAAAUACCAUGUGAGACUGAGUUUACUGUGUCUAUUGAUUGUUCAUUCAUCUAAUAAACAUUUUUAACCAUUUACUUUGUGCUAGAUCCUGUGAGAUAGGGAUGUUUCUCAUCUGUAAAAUGAGGAUAGUAAUACUAGCAUACAAAAUUAUUAAGGUCAAAUAAGAUACUAAACCCAAAAUCAUUUCAUAACUAUAGUUCUGUGCAAAUAUAAGAUACUUUCAGACUUUAGGCACGUUAUUGAUUAAAAAGAAUUUUCUGUGUUAACCUUUGAACUUAAUCAUUAUUUAUAGCAUUGUUUCCAUGCAGGACACACUAUGUUAGAGCACUGGGAAACACAUCUGCUUCUCCUAGUGUCUUCCUCUAGCCACUCUGCCUCAUCUCCUAUAGAACCUACGGUGUUGGCCAGCCAAGGAUAAAAUGAAGCCACAUCACAAAUAACUUUCCCUUUCCCAUUUAAGACCCAACAGUCACUGAUCAACUUUUAGAAUAAAAAAGAGAAUAAAUUGGUUUCAAAGACCCUUCUGAUACUCUAGGACCCCAUGAUAAAUCCAAUACUCUUAAUGUAUCACAAACAAAGUCUUCGAGUAUAAUAGACAUGAAUGUGUCAGUGACUGAAAGUCACUACAUGAGGAACUCUGAAGAAGAAAGAAGCUUAAAGAGAUAGAAACAGAUAUUUUCCACAAGUGUGCCAUUGCCUUCUGGAGCUAAGGCAGCCCUGAGUUCUGCAGGGAGUUCUACCACUGGCUACUCAUGCCCACAUCUCAGGACAAUGCAAAGUGUACAGUCUUCCUAAAGGAGCUCAGCCUUUGGGGCCACCAUGCCAAAGAAAAGCCAUUCUGCAAUAGGAAUAAAAAGGGGAUAAAGUGGCAGAAGGAAAGCAACCUCUAACCGAAGAAAGGAGUAGUUUUCAUCUCAAAGAAAGCUCUUUCAGAAACUGGAGGCAAGAGCCACACUGGAAAUUACUAUUGUAAAGGAUGGAAAUGCUGCCAAGGUAUCUGGUUGAAACCUGCCAUUCAAAAGGGUUGAAUGCAAAUAAUAUUCCUUCAGGCCAAGUAAAGUCACAGAGACUUUUAAUUUUUUUUCUUUUUGGCUUUUAAGCCUUAGAAGAGUUAUAGGCUACUUGAAAAAUAAUUUUGUCAAAAUCAUCUAGAAGCAAAGGAAUCAGUGUCAUGGUUUAUAAGCUUAUUCACAAGAGAAUGAAGAAUCUACCUCCUGACCACAUCUGCACGUGGCCAUAAAAAUAAGCUAUUUUUUUCAAAUGAACACACAUGUACUAAGUGCUCCAUGUUUGAAAUGCUGGAAAGGUGCUCAGGGUACUGAAAUGAGGAUGGAUAACCCCCGAGUUCUGUUUGCUUACUAUCUAUUUGGAAAAUAAAUGCCUACACAGACUCCCUUUAGCAAAGCCUACAGAAAGAGCUUUGCAGAAGGGACUCUACGUCAAGAGGUACCAAACCAUGCUGUGAAAAUACAGGGGGAAACAGAGAUUAAUUCUGCAAAAAGAUCUGAGAGAGCAAACUGAAGGAGAAAUAUUUAAAGAUAAUAACAUGAAAGUAUAAUAUAAGUAGGCAUAAUUUGCAGAGGUUAGUAAUUUGGUAAAUAAAGCAGGAAUAAUGGGUCAAAAUGGCCAGCCACAAAGAGCAAAGAAAGAGGUAAGAAAAUUUAAUCAACAAAAUAUGCUUAUACCAAUUUUUGCACCAUCCUUAUUUUGUAUCUUCCCAGUUUCCCUUAGUUUACCCAGCUAAGUUUGAUGACAGGAGUUCAGCAGAUGCUAUUGGUUACUUCAACAUCCAUUGUUUUUCUUCUACUUUUGUUCAAGUGGCUACUCUGUAUACGGCCUUUGACUUUAAGACAGACUAACCCACAAGGGUGAAUCCUCGGGGGCCAUGCCUAUCAUGGUACCCUUAAACCUCUUCCUGCCAGUGGUUUGUUUGGGAAUGAACAUGCAAAAAAAUUUUGGCCAUUGAUGCUGGAAGACUUUGAGGAAAGAUUUCCUUGAUUUCAAAAGUGAACCCAAGGGAAAGACCCGGGUUUUUUUGUUUUCUUACUUCUCUCUCAGGAUAUUUUCCUGUCUAGAUGUGGUGCCUGGAGCUGCUGGUACCAUGUUAGGAUGAUAGAGUGGGAAAAUGGAAAAAGGUUGAUUCCUAAUGACUACACCACUGAACCAACCAGCCCCGAAACCCCUACUUCUCCACUUCAUGCAUGUGAGAAAAUAAAUGUCCUCACUACUUUAACCAGCUGUUUCAGGUUUCUGUUACUUGUGCUGAGGGAAUCCUAACUGACACCAGGAGAUACCAUAUCUUCGUUCCGCUCUGGCUGGGAAACAGACACACACAUGGAUCCUAGGAGAUGGUUCAUUGCCAUUGAGUAGUGCAUGAAGAAAAAUGUAGUAAAGCUUCCUAUAAAACUCCUCACUGAAGCUCAGAUUUGAUUCUGAUUAGAGGCCCCUCCACUCAUCUCUGUG